CUCAGACCCGUAACAGUGUUUAGAGACUCCAUGUUAAAAUUUUUGCCUGAUUAAAGGAAACACUGGGGGUGCGAGUUGGUGCCAAAAGACCCCUGAUAAACAAGUGCACCAUCAAUGUCUCCGAUCCCAGCUGCCUGGAAAGGGUCAUUUCAUUAGAUGACUUCACAUCAUUUCCCAGUUUGCUCUGAUUCGGCACAGUAACUGAUCAUAAUU